ensembl:lncRNA
UUGUAGUCUGAGGAAACCUGUGAGCCCCUUCCCAAAAUGUGAUUUUUUUUAAAUGUAUAAAAUAUAGUUCACAUUUACAAAAACUAUUUAUGAUGUGAGAAAUUUGCUUAUUAACAUUAUUUGGCUGUACCUGGAGCAUAUGGAAAUUCCCAGGCUAGGGGUCGAAUCGGAGCUGUAGCCCCCAGCCUACGCCAGAGCCACAGCAACGCGGGAUCUGAGCUGCAUCUGCGACCCACACCACAGCUCACGGCAACACGGGAUCCUUAACCCACUGAGCAAGGCCAGGGAUCGAACCUGUAACCUCAUGGUUCCUAGUCAGAUUCGUUAACCACUGCGUCACGAUGGGAACUCCAGUUACUCAUUUUUCUAAUAAAAUAUUUCUUUGGGUUUGCAGGUGACAGCUUUUCUGGGGAAGAAGUUAGUUGCUAAGUAGGAUAAACUCUGGUUAAGGGAGUUUCAUGGCGGCUCAACAGGUUAAGGAUCUGGCAUUGUCACUGUAUCAGCCGGGGUCGCUGCUGUGAUCCAGGUUCCAUCUCUGGCCUGAGACCUUCCAGCAUGCCUCAGGCUUGGCCAAAAAAUCUCCCCCAAAACAAAAAACUGCACAUAGAUCUUUCAUAUCCUUGUGCAUGAACAGAAAAAUGGCUAGUGCACAUGAUAUGGUAAAAAGAAUGCUAGGCCAGGUGGUCAGUUUAUUCCUGAGAUUGUGGCCUGAAUAUUAUCAGAAAGGCCAUCAAAAUGUUAGUCACUCCCAAGAAAGAUAUGAAAAAUAAAAUUUAGAAAUAGACUGUAUUAUCUUGGUAGGAAACAAUACAUCCACUCUUAGACUAUUGAAUUAUUAUAUCUCAAGAAAGAACAAGCUAAGCAAGGGGAAAUUUCCAGUAUAAAUGGUGAAGGCAGUGGUGAGUGAGGCUUUCAUGUGAGGAUAAAUUUGACUUCACAAUGGAGUGAUGGAGACUGAGAUGGACUAUGAUUAAAUUGUAUUAAAUUACAAAAAACGUGAACACUAAUCUGGAAAAUUAGAACUAACUUGAAAGAUGACUGCUGUUUGACAGUUGUAUAAUGAGUUUGUGAAACUUAAUAGCACAGAAAGUGGUUAAAGCUCAAGAACCGACCAGAACCAAUUUAAAGGUUAGAAAGCCAGAGACUUUGGUGAUCCAGCCCAGUUCACUUCAGGUCAACAAACCAUUUACUGAGACUUGAAUCUAAUGGUUUAUGAAACUUUCCUAUUCUGUUCAUUCACUAAAUAAAUAUUUAUUGAACACCUAGUGAAUGUUCUUCGAUCCAACUACAAUUUGUUGAGCAUCUGCCACACUCAAGGGUUGUAGUAAACUGGGGGGUGAGGGCAGUGUACAAGUGAAUUAAUCCAGCUAGCUGUAUGUAUGUGUAUAGAAAAUACCAAGGGGCUCUGCAAAGAGAAACACAGAAUUUUGCGAACUCUCAAGUGCCAUAGAGAAGUAUAAACGUAAAUGUUUCUCAUGAGGUGCUAAUAUGAAUUACUAGUACUUAGUUUAUUUUUUAUAUUUUUACUUUUACUAAAAGUAUUUAUUAAUAUAUUAAAAUAUUAAAAUAUAGUUGAUGUGCCAGUUUCUACUGUAUAGCAAAGUGACCAGUCUUGUGUGUGUGUAUGUUUGCAUAUAUAUUUACACACAUAUAUACAUACACACACAUACAUUCUUUUUGUUACCAUUUUCCAUCAUGUUCUAUAUCAAGAGAUUGAAUAUAGUUCCCUGUGCUAUAGUGUAGGACCUCCUUGCUUAUCUAUUGUAAAUGCAGUAGUUUGCAUCUAUUGGAGUUCCCGUUGUUGUGCAGUGGCAAUGAGUCCGACUAGGAACUAUAAGGUUGCGGGUUUGAUCCCUGGCCUCACUUGGUGGGUUAAGGAUCUGGCAUUGCUGUGGCUGUGGU